AAUUUAGAAGGACCAGUUGAACAGUUUUUGCUUCCUAUUGGGCCACUUUUAUAUAUUUUUUUUGUUUUUUUUUUCUUCUAACAACAUUCUUCAAUAAUAUAGUGGAUAUUCUUCAUUAAUAUAAUGGAUAGUGGAUUUCACGUGUCUUUCGCAUGUUCCUGACGAAUAGGAUACGUGGCUUUCUCCAUUUGUUUCUUCUGCAUCUCUUUGAUUACUCAACUGACUUUCAUUAAUCUUCACCUGUAUAUGCGUAUACCACCGCCAAUAUUUCUCUAUGCCUCCCACGGCUAUCUCUCCUUUGUCUAUCUCAAAUGAUCGACCAAUUUUUUCUCUCAGCGAUUCUUCAAUUUUCUCCGCCUUUUCCCUGUUCUCUUCUACACCAUCGACAUUAAUCGAAUCCGCCAUCACCACCGCUCCACCAAAUCGCCACUCUGACAUCAAUUGAUGGGCUGCAUCAAUUUUUAUUGAAGAUGAGUCUCUUGAUACCCGGUCUUUCUCUACCCCUACCCCUCUGCUUUCCUCCAACAUCGCUAAUCCCCUACCAAAAACCCUAAAAAGACCAAUCUUUUGGAUCAUCACUCCAUCAAGUACGUAUUCGAUGAAUCUGUUCCGAGAUACAACACAACUUCGUGCGUUUUGCUACAAUUCUUCUUGCCAUUUCAGAAUCAUCAAUUUUGGGUUAAAGGGCUUUCUUCAUUCCAUUUUCAGAAGUAUUAACAGUAGCAUGAACUGGGUUUCUAUCCUCCUCUCCGACUUUGGUUACUCCUGUAUGAUAUCGAUGAACAUGCUGGGUAUUUUAAGAUGAGGGAAGAACAUGACUUGGCUUUAUAGGUAUAUUGGUUUUCCCUUUGACAAGUCCCUUUAUGCUUUAGAUGUGUGUAUAAACCAACAAAAAUAACUUUACAAUGAAUCCAACGUCAUAUUCUGCCAUAGAUUCUUUUUUCAAGACCUUCUUAAAAAUUAGUCAAACCUUUAAAAGUGAAAAAUUAUCAAAAAAAUUGGAUGAAACAUUGAUGGUUAAGUGGAUUUUGUGUUGGUUGUGAACAAAUAAAAAAAAGGGUAAUAUUGUAAAAUGGAUAAAUGCUUCUCCUUCCAUACAAACUGGUGACCUUGCGGGGGAGGGAUUCCCAUCUGAAGACUGAAGGACGAAUCCAAUCAUUCAGAACUCUAUUUAAUAGAAAGAUUACCAUAAGUGCAGGCAAUGAUUUAAGAUUUUGAACUCUGUUCACCUCCAUCUACUUCGCUACUGCUUGGGCUCUUCUUCAUCUGAUUGCACACAUAAUUCUUUUCCCUCACAAAUCAGAACUGCUGCACCCAAACACAAGGUCCGGUCUCUUCAGUCUUGAUUAUUACUCGAUUAAUAAAUUUGGUAGGAAAUUAGUGAAAAUUCUGGGAGCUCGCGAAGAUUCUAUAUGUUUGAUUGUAUUUGGCUACUAAUAUUCUUAUUAGGGAUGAGCACAUAGGAUCAUAUACCGGUUCCAUGAUUUUGGAGAAAAUGGUCCUGAAUGUAAGUAUCUUUUGAUUGGGUAUUGUUUCCCAUCCAUGUUUGAUUUUCAUUCCAUUAAUAUACAUGAACUUCGCCUAUCAAUUUAUCUUAAAAUCUUGAUCUCCAAGUUCAAUUAAAAUACCAUAUAAGCCAUAAACACAAAUUAACUACCAACAGUAAUAUAUAAUCUAUUUACAUUCACGUUUCCUCCAUGUUUGAUUUAUAAUUAAUUAUACCAUCUUGAUUAUAAUUAUAGUUGAUUCUUUUGCCUUCAAAAGGUAUCACAUAGUCACGUCUUAAGACCUUUCAUUGCCUUUUUCUUUUGGAUUUGUAUCUUUAAGAAUAGAGUGAAAUUGUUUUUUUCUAUGUAUGCUUGGCUAUGUGAGGUUCUACUCUUGGCUAAGUUGCUGAACAAAACUAAGUGAUGCUACAAAGGAACUUGGUCUUGGAACCAAAUCACCGGGACCACUCCCAUACCUGAACCGGUCCUGAAUUGCUACGUAUGGGUUCGGUUUUCUCUGAAUUAUAGUCGAAAUGCCUAAUUAAUGAAGGGUUUUUUUUUUUUUUUUAGUUGUUGUACAAUUUUGGAAUGAACAAACGUUUUAAGUGUCUAACGGGUUUGGUGUCGUUGGAGACCGGAUGUGGUGGUGUUUUUUUUGUGAUUUAUUGAAUUUAUUGGUGUGUUUUAAUUAUGUUCAAUCUGGGUGCUUAAUUUAGGAUAGAUAGCCAUAGAGACAUAAUUGCUCCCUUUAGACCACACUGCUAUUUCUAACAGAUUUUACAGGGAGAAAGUCAUGGAAGGGGACAAUAUAAAUGGGCUUAAACAUGUAAUCAGCACUGUAUAUAUUUAAAGAACCCAAAAAAGACCUAAGCUGUUGUUUGAUUCUAUGUGUUGUAUUUCUAUUUUUUUGUUUAAAUUAAGAAAAAAGAAACUUAAUGUCAGGGAAAACAAAGUAUAUCUCUGGAACCUACUGGUCAGUUUGAACUUAGUGAUGCUCCUCUUGAAUCUCUCCAUCAAAGUUGUGCAGAAGUGAAUUCACACCUUUACCAGGAGAAAGUUGUUGCUGAAGAGAUGGGAAUUUGAUUUAUAGUGGAAUUGGUUUCCAGCCAAAGUUGGAAAGAAAAGAUAUACCUAUAAUUCCUAAGGGAAGAUAUGAGAUAAUGAGGAAUUACAUGCCUAAAGUUGGUUCUCUUAGACUUGACAUGAUGUUCCGGACAUGUACUGUUCAGGUUAACCUGGAUUUACUUUUCAUAAGAUAUGUCUACAUGGAAUUUGCACUUAUGAUUGAUGUUGUAUGUGUAAAAAUUAACUCAGAAAAGGACGUUAACAUUUGAAAUUGAUGUACACAUGGUAGUAUUUAGAUAUGAUGAAAAAUUAAGAGUGAAGUUGAAUAAGAAUUGGUAGGUUGGGUUUUUCUAUCUAAAGUUGCAUCUAUCUCAGUUUCAUU